rnacentral:rRNA from 1 species
UAGGGAAUCUUCCGCAAUGGACGAAAGUCUGACGGAGCAACGCCGCGUGAGUGAAGAAGGAUUUCGGUUCGUAAAACUCUGUUGUUAGGGAAGAAAAAAUGUAUAGUAACUAUAUACAAAAGAGACGGUACCUAACCAGAAAGCCACGGCUAACUACGUGCCAGCAGCCGCGGUAAUACGUAGGUGGCAAGCGUUGUCCGGAAUUAUUGGGCGUAAAGCGCGCGCAGGUGGUUUAGAAAGUCUGAUGUGAAAGCCCACGGCUCAACCGUGGAGGGUCAUUGGAAACUAAUAAACUUGAGUGCAGGAGAGAAAAGUGGAAUUCCUAGUGUAGCGGGGAAAUGCGUAGAGAUUAGGAGGAAAACCGGUGGCGAAAGCAGGUCUCUGGGCAGUAACUGACGCUGAGGAGCGAAAGCAUGGGUAGCGAACAGG